UACGUAGGGUGCGAGCGUUAAUCGGAAUUAUUGGGCGUAAAGCGGGUGUAGGCGGACUGUUAAGUCAGGUGUGAAAUCCCAGGGCUCAACCCUGGAAGUGCACUUGAUACUGGCAGUCUUGAAUGUGGUAGAGGUUACUGGAAUUCCUGGUGUAGUGGUGAAAUACGUAGAUAUCAGGAGGAACACCGGAGGCGAAGGCGGGUAACUGGGCCAACAUUGACGCUUAGACCCGAAAGCGUGGGGAUCAAACAGG
rnacentral:rRNA from 1 species